CCUACGGGAGGCAGCAGUGGGGAAUAUUGGGCAAUGGGCGCAAGCCUGACCCAGCAACGCCGCGUGAAGGAAGAAGGCUUUCGGGUUGUAAACUUCUUUUGUCAGGGACGAAGCACGUGACGGUACCUGACGCAUAAGCCACGGCUAACUACGGGCCAGCAGCCGCGGUACUACGUAGGUGGCAAGCGUUAUCCGGAUUUACUGGGUGUAAAGGGCGUGGAGGCGGGACUGCAAGUCAGAUGUGAAAUCCACGGGCUCAACCUGUGGCCUGCAUGUGAAACUGUAGUUCUUGAGUACGGGAGAGGCAGGCGGAAUUACUGGUGGAGCGGUGAAAUGCGUAGAGAUUAGGAGGAACACCAGUGGCGAAGGCGGUCUGCUGGACAGCAACUGACGCUGAGGCGCGAAAGCGUGGGGAGCAAACAGGAUUAGAUACCCCGGUAGUC
rnacentral:rRNA from 1 species